rnacentral:lncRNA from 1 species
AGUUACUGCCACCCUCUCCCAGGUCUAGAGAGGGGUACCCACGGUGGAGGGAGGUGGGAGGCCGAGACGGCCCCGGGGGUCGGCGGAGACCCAGCGGGAGCAGGGGGAAAUCGGAAGAGCUGGGGGCAUGGAGCGGGCGAGUUUGGAGCGGAAUGAGCCGGGAGCCCUACGUUGUGGAAGGAAGACAACAGUAUAGGACCAUCAGCAGGACCGGACAGAGAGGGCCCUGGCUGUCCUGGAACUUGUAGACCAGGCUGGCCUUGAACUCAGAAAUCCGCCUGCCUCUGACUCCCGAGUGCUGAGAUUAAAGGUGUGCACCACCACACCCGACAAGGAAGCCUGUUUUAAGAAGUGAUUCCAUGGAGGAGUUCUGCGGCGGCUCAGGGCUUGACUAAACAGUGGACCUCAGACCCGAGGGUGAAGGAUGAGGAGGAUGGAAGAAAAUGGGAGUGGCGCUUGCUGCAAAGGGUCUCGAAGGGUCUCAGCACCUGCGAACUGGCUCCAAUCCAAACUCCACUAUUCAUGGUCAAGUUCACAUAGGGCUUGGGGUUCUAACAAGAUGUGACUAAACUUACGUUUUCUAUCUUAUUGAUUGUUGUUGAUGCACGUCUGGUGGUACAUGCUUGAAGAACACAGACACCCUGAGAAGAAAGACAUAGCUCCCCAGAUUCCAGCACGCACUUCUCUGUGAGCUACCACUGUAGCUGAAGAUACAGGGCUCAGGAGGAACACUUGGCCUUCGCUCUGAACUUCAGGCCCACGUAACCAUCAGCCGACAUGACACUGCAAAGGCACCUUAGCUCUGCUGUCCCAGAUGGCCAAGCCAACCUUAUUCCAGAAGCUACUUCUCCUGAUGUAAGAACCAGACACAAAGGACAACCUCUGCCUCACCCUCCUUCACACAACACUGAGUCUGUCAUCUUUGAAGCAUUUCUCAAGCCAUGUUUAUUCCCCUGGCCUACGUGGAACACAGCCAGGGUACGGAACACAACCUCAGCACCGGUCUGCUUUCCUCUCCCCAUUUCUGGUCUUUCUCAGAUGCCCAGAGCUCCUCUGUCCCAAUGACUGCUUAUCAAAGAUCUCACUGUGUCCCCACCCAAGGGGUCUUUGGCCACCCUGUGAAGUCCUAGUGGCCUGGAGUUUGCCCCCUUUCCCAGACACCUUAGGGUUCCUGCUGCAGCUCCAGAACUGGGGGAGCAGGGUUGGGGGUGAGUGUGUGUGUGUGUGUGUGUGUGUGUGUGUGUGUGUGUGUUGACUCACCCUGCAGUAUUCUCUCCAUCUGCACAGGUCCCCAGUCUCUGAGACUGAAUCACCCCUCUUUCACUAUGCCUCUGCACAGCUGCCCUUGUGCUCCCUCUCCUUGCCCCGCCUCUUUUUAAGACAGUAUUAUGCAGCCCUGGCUGUCCUGGAACUUAUGUAAACCAGCCUGGCCUUGAACUUGCAGAGAUCCACCUGCCUUUGCCUCUGCCCCUGCCCCUGCCCCUGCCCCUGCCCCUGCCCCUGCCCCUGCCUUUCUGCCUCUGCCUCUGCCUCUCUGCCUUUCUGCCUCUGCCUCUCUGCCUCUGCCUCUCUGCCUCUGCCUCUCAAGUGUCAGGGAUUAAUGCCUGCCACCUCCCCAGUCCCACCCCUCUCCAUCUACCAUGUGGGUUCCACGGGGCAAACCCAAGUCAUCAGGCUUGUUGGCCAGUGCCUUUAUCCACUGAGCCAAGCCGCUUGGUGUGUCUUUGAUGGUGAUUAUUUACAGGAGCUAUUCAGCAAGGUUAAAUGCUGGCAACCCAAUGAGGGGGUCUCUUGAUCCAAAACUGAGAAGUUGAGGCACUAUUUCAGAAUGACCAAAGACAGUAGAAGAAUCUAGAUAUGUCGAUGAUGAGAACAAUGAUAACUCCAAAAGCUGAGGGAAAUUAACUCAAAAUCUUCCAGCUUCCUUUUCCUUACCUAGUUUGGCGGACUCCAACUCUUGGGAUAGCUUUUUUUCUGGCCCCAAACUCACCUGAUUCGUCUGUCCACUGCCACACUGAAGAAUGAACAGCUGUCUCAGAGAGCUUGGCUCCAGAGCUCUGCAAAAAGAGGACACCUUGCCUUGAGCUGUGUUUCCAGAAUGUAUUGCAGCCCCCAGAGUCAUGUACUGUGACCAGGUGAGGACAUGCAUCUUCUGUUCUCCUGCACCCAGGGCCCCAGCAACCAAGGAUCUGGGGACAUGGCGGGUGUUUGGCAGGUUCGCACUCUGAAAAUAUUUGAUGAGACUCAGUAUAUGCUAAAUAAACACUGGAUCAAGUU